AUUAUUAUUAUUAUUAUUAUUAUUAUUAUUAUUAUUAUUAUCUGAUUAGACUAAAAUGAUGUGAUAAGCCUUAAAAUUUUUGGACAACCGCCUUACAUAUGUAUAAUUUGUCUGUCAUUUUAUAACGCAAAUGUUUAAUAAAUUUAUAUAGCUACAUAUACCUUUAAGAUAUAUUGGUCAAAAUUAGACCUUUAUAAUUAACAUAAUUCAUACGCAAAUGCUUAAAAGCUUUUUGAGUGUUUUUUUAGUAAUAUUUGUCAAUAAAAAACCGCAAUGUCCGUUUAAUAACAAUUGGACAGAUAAAAAGUAUGUUAAAUUCCUAUUGGCUGGUUGACUUGACAUCACGUUUUAUUCAAAAUUAUGUCGAAAUAUUCACCUGCGGUUUUAGCUUAUUUAUAACGUUGUCGGGCGCAGGAAUAUCGUCAAGGUAAGAAUUUUAGAAAUCAAAAGUAGGCUGUGCCGAAGUAAUUAAUUUUCUAAAGAUACUGAUUUAUUUAACUUAUGUGAACAUGCUUACAUGUUCAAUAUUUUAAAAACAUUAUAAAAUUUCUGAAAGGAUAGCUCGUAGAAAUAGACAGAAACCAAGGUGUGUGAAAUAAUAUCACUCUGCCAGAACUGAUGGAUAUAUCAAAAAUGUGUGUCAGGAUAUUGAAAACAGUAGUGUUAGUUUUAUUAUUUGUGACUUUGGCUUACAGCCUGUGUGCAAGUGUCGGUUGGGUUGGGUGUGUGGACAAUGGAUGUUCAAAAUAUGAAGAAGGAACAUGUCAAAAUGUUGGAAGAAGACCAAGAAAUAUAUGUGUUUGCACUAUAGAUCACUGACAUAUAAAUAUGAGACCUCGUGCUUUCAUUGUUUUCGCUGAUGGAAUUACUUCGAUCGGACCAAAUUGAGUUUGAAGAUAGACUUGAGCAACGGAUGAAUGAUAAUUUUGCAGAAUCCGUUUAGUCUAAAAUAGAAUCUAAAACUUGGAAAUGGAAAAAUGUAUCAUUAUAUCAUCUCAAAUACAUGUAAAAAGAACUCAUUAAAAAAGGAAGUGUUAAAGUAAUCAAGAUUUUGAUACUGACAUAAUCUAACAUCUAAAUAUAUUUAAGAUAAGACAUAGAAAAAAGAAGAAAAGGAUGCUACGAAAAAAAGAAAAGAACACGUUUUCAACCGCUCGCUGUCUAAACUAUGCCUACAAAUUAACAGGUCUGAACUUAUCAUGUAAAGAAGAAAAACAUUAUUCUAUUUGCCUUUCUGUUUAACUUUCAACAUCUUUCCAUGAAUAUAGUGUUUCAUCGUUAUGUUUGUUUUCUCUAUUACAUUUGUUCAGAAUUCAUUGCAUUUAAUGGAUGAAUUUUGAUAAUAUUUUUGUGUUAUUAUAUACAUUUUUAUUAUUUUCUUACGCUUUACAUGGGAUAGAAAUCUGUUUACUCAAUAUUUUGUUUGAGCUGUUGCCAUUCAUGCAUUCUUACAAGAAAUUAUGUCUUUAAAUAAAGUAAGAAAUAAAAGUUAAAUUAA